rnacentral:rRNA from 1 species
UACAGAGGUCUCAAGCGUUGUUCGGAUUCAUUGGGCGUAAAGGGUACGUAGGCGGCGCGGUAAGUCGGGUGUGAAAUCUCGGAGCUUAACUCCGAAACUGCAUUCGAUACUGCCGUGCUUGAGGACUGGAGAGGAGACUGGAAUUUACGGUGUAGCGGUGAAAUGCGUAGAUAUCGUAAGGAAGACCAGUGGCGAAGGCGGGUCUCUGGACAGUUCCUGACGCUGAGGCACGAAGGUCAGGGGAGCAAACAGG